GCAGGGGUAGCCAAGCCAGGUCAAAGGCGCAGGAUUGAGGGUCCUGUUCCGUAGGGAUUCGCGAGUUCAAAUCUCGUCCCCUGCA
rnacentral:tRNA from 1 species